rnacentral:misc_RNA from 1 species
UGGCUCUCGCAUCGAUGAAGAACGCAGCGAAAUGCGAUAAGUAAUGUGAAUUGCAGAUUUCAGUGAAUCAUCGAAUCUUUGAACGCACCUUGCGCUCCUUGGUAUUCCGAGGAGCAUGCCUGUUUGAGUGUCAUUAAAUCAUCAAUUCAGCCUUAUUUUAUAGGGCGGAAUUGGACUUGGAGACUUGCUGGACCCUGUUGUAAUGGGUUCUGGCUUCUCUUGAAUGCAUUAGCUGGACUUUGAACGCGCAUAUAUGCAGUGUGAUAACUAUCUUCACUGUGUGCGAGUUUGAUUAGAUUUCGGCUUCUAAUAGUCUAUCUCUAUAGACAAUCUCUUUGACCAUCUGGCCUCAAAUCAGGUAGGAUUACCCGCUGA